ACUCCUACGGGAGGCAGCAGUGGGGAAUAUUGCACAAUGGGGGAAACCCUGAUGCAGCCAUGCCGCGUGUGUGAAGAAGGCCUUCGGUUGUAAAGCACUUUCAGUAGGGAGGAAGGUAGUGUAGUUAACACCUGCACUAUUGUACGUUACCUACAGAAGAAGCACCGGCUAACUCCGUGCCAGCAGCCGCGGUAAUACGGAGGGGUGCGAGCGUUAAUCGGAAUUACUGGGCGUAAAGCGCAUGCAGGCGGCCUGUUAAGUCAGAUGUGAAAGCCCGGGGGCUUAACCUCGGAAUUGCAUUUGAAACUGGCAGGCUAGAGUCUUGUAGAGGGGGUAGGAAUUUCAGGUGUAGCAGUGAAAUGCGUAGAUAU
rnacentral:rRNA from 1 species